GAAGAACUAUAUAGAGGGGCGGUUAGAUGGUAUAGUGAAAAGAGACCAAACCAAGAGACAGGAGGGUCUGGGUUUGUAUUUGGUCCUAGAGUUGUAACUAAGACAGAGAGUCAGGAAAGAAAGAAAGAAAGAAAGAAAGAAAGAAAGAAAGAAAGAAAGAAAGAAAGAAAGAAAGAAAGAAAGAAAGAAAGAAAGAAAGAAAGAAAGAAAGAAAGAAAGAAAGAAAGAAAGAAAGAAAGAAAGAAAGAAAGAAAGAAAGAAAGAAAGAAAGAGAAAGAAAGAAAGAAAGAGAAGGAAGGAAGGAAGGAAGGAAGGAAGGAAGGAAGGAAGGAAGGGAGGGAGGAAGGGAGGAAGGAAGGAAAGAAAGAAAGAAAGAAAGAAAGAAAGAAAGAAAGAAAGAAAGAAAGAAAGAAAGAAAGAAAGAAAGAAAGAAAGAAAGAAAGAAAGAAAGAAAGAAAGAAAGAAAGAAAGAAAGAAAGAAAGAAAGAAAGAAGAAAAAAGGAAAAAGGAAAAAAGAAAGGAAGAAAGAAAGGAAGGAAAAAAAGAAAGAAAGAAAGAAAGAAAGAAAGAAAGAAAGAAAGAAAGAAAGAAAGAAAGAAAGAAAGAAAGAAAGAAAGAAAGAAAGAAAGAAAGAAAGAAAGAAAGAAAGAAAGAAAGAAGGAAGGAAGGAAGGAAGGAAGGAAGGAAGGAAGGAAGGAGGAAGGAAGGAAGGAAGGAAGGAAGGAAGGAAGGAAAGGAAGGAAAGGAAGAAAGAAAGAACGAAAGAAAGAGAGAAAGAAUAGGAGAAAGAAAGAAAGAAAGAAAGAAAGAAAGAAAGAAAGAAAGAAAGAAAGAAAGAAAGAUGAAGAAAGAAAGAAAGGAGGGAAGGUAGGGAAGGAGGGAAGGAAGAGAAGGAAAGGAGGAAGGGAGGAAAGAAAAAAAAGAAAGGAGGAAAGGAGGAAGGGAGAAAGAGAAAGAACUAGAUAAUGAGAGGUUAAGUAACUUACCCAAGGUCACACAUCUAUAAGGAGAAGAGCUGGGAUUUGAACUCAGAUCCUUUAUCUUUAGACCCAGGGCUCUUUCUUCUUUACUAGGAGGAGAGGGAAACUCAGCCCAAUAACAGGUUUGGUUCACAGUCAUAGAACUAGUAAGCUAGUCCCCUAGUUUUUCUUGAUCAGUUAAGUCAAGAGCAUAGGAUAAGAAAUGGACAUUUUACUGGCAAGGCCAGAAAACUUGGCCAUUUUCCUUUCAAUGGACACGGCACAUUAAGACCUAAUUAUAUCACCAGGCUACUGCAAAGCCGAAUGAAUUAAAACCAGCAAAGUGGCUUUGAACUCUUUCGAUGAAAGGUGACUGAUAAUUGCUAAGCACUUUUAGAAAGAGGCUUUUAAAACACAAUUGCCCUCUAUUAAUCUGAGCUCCAACAGACCCGAAGUUCAUGAACAGUUAAAGCCGUUUAGUAAACAUGGUUUUGUUUUGUAUUGCUUCCCCGUUUCUGUGCGGUCCAUGCGUUGCUACAAUUCCCAUAA
rnacentral:lncRNA from 1 species